rnacentral:rRNA from 1 species
GACGAACGCUGGCGGCGUGCUUAACACAUGCAAGUCGAACGGAAAGGCCCUUCUUUUGUUGGGUGCUCGGGUGGCGAACGGGUGAGUAACACGUGAGUUACCUCCCUUUCUCUUUUGGAUAACUUCAGGAAACUUUGGCUAAUACCGGAUCGGAUCUCCUCCUGCAUUGUGGGGGUUGGAAAUUUUCGGCUGUUGUGGAUGUACUCGCGGCUUGUCAGCUUGUUGGGGGGGUGCUGGCUUACCAGGGCUUUGACGGGUAGCCGGCCUGCGAGGGUGCCCGGACACAUAGGGAAUGAGAUACGGCCGAGACAGCUACGGGAGGCAGACGUGGGGAAUAUGGCACAAUGGGCGAAAGCGUGAUCAAGAAACGCCGCGUGCGGGAUGAAGGCCUUCGGGUUGUAAAAAGAUUUCGCCUGUGACGAAGCGUGAGUAACGGUACUGGGUAAAGAAGCACCGCCUACCUCCGU